UGGUUUAGCUCUGGCCAGACUGUAACGUUAUCUAUUCAUAUAAACACAUGCGAGUGACUCAACGAGGGUUAAGUUGCGAAGAGGUGAGUAAGGUAUAGUCUUUAUCCUAAAGAAAAGAAUUAGGAUAGGAAAUAUUCGCGAGAGAGGUAAGGUAAGAGAUUAUCAUGAGGGGCGUAGUCAGAGAUGAGAGUCUAAAGAUCACCUUAGUUUUGAGACGGACUAAAAUAACUUUGUUAUUCAGCAGUGGGGGAUAAUUGACAAUGCUCAGAGGAGUGAUCAUGUGAAAUAGAGCAGAAUGAUGAGAGAUAUUAUUUUGUAAGAUUAUAAAAUAAGGAGAGAUAGGGGAUAAGAAGUUGUGUAUAAAGUUCGUGCCAGCUACGCGGUUAUACGACUACAGCGAACGUUAAGUCAAAGAAUGUGCGUAAAGGAUCUGUAGGUGGAAUCUAGGUAUUAUAAGGAGUAAGAAGGAUAAGCAAAGGAGGGAUAAAAUCCGAUGAUAUUGCAUAGAGUGCUAAGGCGGAGGCAUCUUACUAGAAUAAUAUGACACUGAAGGAUGAGGGAGUAGGUAUCGAACUGGAUUAGAUACCCAGGUAGUCUACUCUGUAAACGAUGAUCAUAGCAAAAUAAAAAUAUAGAGGAAGCAAACGCGGAAAUGAUCCGCAUGUUGAGUAAGUUCGAAAGAACGAAAGACAAAGAGCUAGGCGGCCUAGUAGAUCGAACAUCGGGUCAUGCUAUUUAAUUCGAUAACCCACGAAGAAUCUUACUUAAGCUUGAAUAUAGAGUAACGAAGUGCGAAUGGAGUGAAAUAGUACAGGUGUUACAUAGUCGUUUAAAGUUCGUAUUGUAAGAUGUAAGGUUUACCCCGUAAACGGACGACAUUCUUAUAUAAGAUGUAGUAUAGAUAGGAUAUGUAUAAUGCUUAAAAGCUUAGAGAUAGAAUGAAAACAGAUCUUUAUGACCCUAAUGCUUAAGGCUAUCAGUGUGACACAAAUAUGUAGACAAAGUCUAUGAAUGUAAUGACAGAAAGAACAUAUGAGACGGAUAUGGUUCUGAAACUCGGAUCAUUGAAGAAGGAGUGUUCAGUAAUCGUUUAUAACUAUGUAACGGUGAAUGAAAAAUACUUAGUGCACUAAUCGCCCAUCACUAUUAUUAUUGAUGUAGAAAGGAAAUCCUUAAGUAGUAUGAAUUGAAUACACGAAGAGGCUCAAUUUAAGACAGAUAUAAUAAUCGAAGUUGUCACAUAGUCGGUGCACCUGAAGGUUUACCGGACGGAUAAGAAAGAAUAAAUCCCCUUUAAUAUAAUCUAAUUUCACUAAGAGUAGAAGAGAAUGAGGAAGAAGAGUAAGAAUCAUCAGAGGAGUAUAAGAGUAAGAAUGGGAAAAGUUAUAAUAGUAAUAAAAAGGGAAGAUGGAGUAAUAUGAGUGU
rnacentral:rRNA from 1 species